AAGGCCGCCGCCAACUGGACC
rnacentral:misc_RNA from 1 species